rnacentral:rRNA from 1 species
UACGGAGGGAGCUAGCGUUGUUCGGAAUCACUGGGCGGAAAGCGCACGUAGGCGGACUCUUAAGUCGGUGGUGAAAUCCUGGAGCUCAACUCCAGAACUGCCUUCGAUACUGAGAGUCUCGAGUCCGAGAGAGGUGAGUGGAACUGCGAGUGUAGAGGUGAAAUUCGUAGAUAUUCGCAAGAACACCAGUGGCGAAGGCGGCUCACUGGCUCGGUACUGACGCUGAGGUGCGAAAGCGUGGGGAGCAAACAGG